GGUUCUAUAGUAAAAUAAAUAACAUUGGAUUGCAAAUUCGAAGAUGUGUUAAAACACUGGAACUU
rnacentral:tRNA from 1 species